UUUUUGUUUCGACGCCAUUUUUUUCAGUGUUCAGUCGAUUGGAAAGUGUGUUGUUCAGAAAUUUACUGGAUUACUUGGAUUAUUUACACACAAUUAUAGCUAUCGGUUUAAAUAGGUAUGGGAGGCCUAUCACGCUUCGAUUUGAUGAUGGAACGGAGGCCAGUUUCGAGGUAGACCUGCCGACAUGGAAAGCAGUAGUUGAUGAUAAAGAUCAGUCAAUGAUUGAGCAAGUGGUAAAGAAUUACAAGGAAGCAAGAUGUGGCGAGGAAGGAGGUACAAUUCCUCACCGUUAUUCAUAUUGUCUGAUAGUGUUUAUGAUUAAUAUGAAAGUGC